rnacentral:lncRNA from 1 species
UUAUCUUAUUCUCUGUUUCAAGGGCAUACCAUCUUAAAAUGGCUGCAGUCUUUCAAUUUUCCUUAAUAGACAUAUUUUUAAUUUCUACCAUACAUCAUAACAGAAAUUUGGAACAGGUCACUUGUUCCAUUGACACAAUUUCUUAUUCCCACUGAACUAGAAUCCCCAAAUUUGCAGUAUUCAUUUAGGCCUUCAUUAUGUGCCACUGAAGUAUAAUGAAUACACGGAUGCCUCAGCAGCAGACCCAGAUGCCUUGCAAAAUAAUCAUGGAAAUUAACCAGCCCAGGCAGGAAAUCUACUCUUGCCCUUACCAUGAUCGUAUUGGUAUUAAUCAGGGGGAAAAGAAGCUAUUAACUGGCUCACAAAGACUAUGAAAGAAAUUAUUCAUUUCCAGUGAGUGAGAUGCUGGAGUUUGCACUAGAAAUCUGUGUUUUAUGGUCUCAGAAGAACCGCAGUUUGUGCUGGUGCCCAGAACCUACUCCCAUAGCCACUGUGGGCCUGGGGUGAAGCUUUUCAGCAGGAAAGCCUGAGGACAGGGUCUCGGCACUCAGAGACACAGAGGCACCAGCACCUGCUCAGGACAUGCUGCUUUGUUCAAUGCUUUUACAGGAAACUUUUGCAUGAAGAAAAUGCGUUAGGCUUCAUAGCGUUUCAUGCUGCACUUCUCAGAGGUUUCCCAGCACUGGAUCUGCUUUUGUGUUGCAGGUAUUGGGAGUAACUGCUGAAGUCUCUAGUGCUACAGCAAUGAAAUACUGGAAUUGGGUGUCUGAAAUAAAUCUGUUUCAACUGAGCUCUGGCUCAAAAGCAGGUUACUGUGGCUUAAUGAAUUAUCCUGUGUUCGCUGAACAACAUGUGUCCUUACAUAAAAGAAAACCAUACUGUCUGAGUCGUGUGGCUACAGCUGAGGACCGAGGCUGCUGUAACAGUGGUGACAGAGCUGCGAACAAAAGUUCCAAGGAAAUAGAAGCUUCAGAGAAGGCUGUUGGCAGAAUGUGA